AUACGUAGGGGGCGAGCGUUGUCCGGAAUUACUGGGCGUAAAGGGUGCGUAGGCGGCUGAUUAAGUCAGAUGUGAAAUACCAGGGCUCAACCCUGGGGGUGCAUUUGAAACUGGCCAGCUUGAGUGCAGGAGAGGGAAGUGGAAUUCCUAGUGUAGCGGUGAAAUGCGUAGAGAUUAGGAGGAACACCAGUGGCGAAGGCGACUUCCUGGACUGUAACUGACGCUGAGGCACGAAAGCGUGGGGAGCAAACAGGAUUAGAUACCCUGGUAGUCCACGCCGUAAACGAUGGAUACUAGGUGUAGGGGGUUAUUGAUACCUUCUGUGCCGGAGUUAACGCAAUAAGUAUCCCGCCUGGGGAGUACGGCCGCAAGGUUGAA
rnacentral:rRNA from 1 species